UUGUGGAGGAGGACGCCGAAGGUGGGGCUAAUGACUGGGGUGAAGUCGUAACAAGGUAGCCGUACCGGAAGGUGCGGCUGGAUCACCUCCUAACAGGGAGACAACAAAAUGUUUAAUAUUAUUAUUUUGUCACCUUAGGUCGAUCGGUAUCUCACGUUCUUAAUUUAUUAAGAAUUUCAUUUCCUAAGUUUUUCUAGGUCACACCCAUUAUUUUCCUGGGCCAUUAGCUCAGGUGGUUAGAGCGCACCCCUGAUAAGGGUGAGGUCCCUGGUUCAAGUCCAGGAUGGCCCAUAUCUCUAUGUUGGGGGUAUAGCUCAGUUGGUAGAGCGCCUGCUUUGCAAGCAGGAUGUCAGCGGUUCGAGUCCGCUUACCUCCACUGAUUACCACCUCUUCCAUAAUCAUAGAAGGGAAAAUUUUUGAGUUGUGAUCAAAUUCUGAACGAAUCUAGCUUCCUAAUGAAAUCAUUAAGAUGCUGGACUCAUUGAAUUAUUCAUUGAUUUCAGAGAACCUUGACAGCUGCAUAGAUUAUUUUAAAGACAAUAAGCAUCUUUAAUGAUGCAGAUUUAUUAUUUGUGCGAAUGCAUUAAUAACAAUUCUAUUAAGCUGAUGCUUCAAUUUUGAAGUUANUGGUCAAGCUACAA
rnacentral:misc_RNA from 1 species